ensembl:lncRNA
CCCCCUCCCUCCACCGCACGCCGCCGCCGGGUCCUCCUCCUCCUCUUCACCGCGCUGCGGGCCUGGCCGGGGUGUCCGCGCUGCGGGGGGACGGGGGGUGGAUACAGAUGGAUGGAAACCCUCGGCUCAUAAAGACGGGAACCCCCCCGCAGGGCCCGGGUGUCCCCGCACAGAAUUACAUCCUCAUCCGAGAGGUCAUCAAAGAGUGGGAGACAGAAGGUUCUUGUGUCCCAGAGCCGAAAACCAAAGCAUUUGGUAACAGAGCUUGGGAGAAAAGCUGUGGCUUGGAGCCACCCCUCAAGCAGGUGGGCACCCCCUGGAGCUAUUGGUGCUGCUAUCCCUACCACUGAACUUCGUGUUUCCCUUCGGCCCUCUGCUACUGGUCCUGUCCUCCUCGACUGAUGGAACAAUUGGUCUCUGGUCCUUUCAGAGCACAUCUGCUCUUUUUAAGAUGCUAUCGCUUAUAGCACUCUUUUAAUCUAUAGAGAGGGAAACAGUUGCGUUUAAUUAAUUGCUCCCUAAAUAAACUAAUUACCGCCAGUAAUUUCAGCGCACUUUGCACGCAGUUCAAACGCCUGAGCAGGGAUCUGAGCACAGGUCUGACGGCGAGGAAUACAAGCAAGGGGACAACAAACGGUUCAGCUUUGGAAGGUCCACCUCAGACCAUCGCUGUUUAAUUCCCACAGACUGCAUUGGUUAGCACUGAGCAGUCCUUAUCAUGGUUCCUUUUCAGCUCUGCUUCAAGGUUGCCUGGGCUUUGCGCAGAGCAUAUCGGAAAGCUAUGCCAAGAAAACACAGUUUUAGCUUUUUAUUACCUUUGUGGGUCAAACGUCAUUGUCCAGCAAUUUAUCAUUGCAUCUUCGUUUGGAAAUGUGAAAGAUAGAGGCUCAUUUUCGGGCCAUUCAUUUCGGUUUCAGUGCCCGUAUCCCUGCACGGAAAUAAACAGCUCCUUUCCUCCCAAGCUGCUUUUAUAACCAAUAUGUCAAAGCAAUUCUUCACCGAACUGAACCCAGGACAGCAGCAAGGAAAAACAAUGUUACAGCAAGGACUUAGCGAAUACUUGAGCUGCCUUCAGCAAGUAUAGAUCUUGUUUUGUGGAACUCGAACACCAGAUCCAUUUACUCUAAAAGCAGCCCUGCAAAGAUCAGCUAUCGAACCUGUGAGGGAGAGAAAGGUUUUUUUUAUGACAUAUUUCUGUAGUCUGUUGUGAGCACAGCCUUAUUGUGCCAGGGACUGAACAAGAACAGGGCGCAAAGAGCUGUAAUCCCGCAGACUUUGCAACAGACAUUUUUGCAGAAGGGAAGUGCUAAUGAGGAGCUGCAGCACGGGAGCCAGUCGCAAGCCUCGAGAGCUGGCCACAGGCCAGUGACAACUUCCAUUGGCUCUCCUUGCCAUUUGGAAGGGGUCCUGUGCCUGCCAAGGCUGUGGGAUAAACACAGCAGCAGCAGCCAGGAGCCAAACCAUUUGUGGGCUUUAAGUAAGGUGCACACGUUGUAAGCAGCUGUUCCCCCCCCAGUGCCUCCAUUGCUGUAUACACGGCAUAAGUGCCCUCCUGCAUCCACACGUUCUUGUUUCCUCAUGCCUGCCUCAGGGUUUGGGAUCAAACUGCCCAGGAAUAUCACAUGAUCUGCAUCAUUCAGCAUCUAAAGCAGGCUUUUUUUUCCCCCUCCUCCUUCCCCAAGGUACCGCUCACAGCGUGCUGCCAUCAGGGAGGAGCAGGCUCAAGCCUGGUUAUUGUGACGUGAGUGACAUCUUCCUUCCAAACGUGGCUCCAUUUGACCCUCAGAUUAUGCGGCCACCAACCAGAACCAAAGCUGGAUGCAGCUGAAGCCAUGUAGGGCAAGUCUGUACUGGAGCCAUGUCGAAUUAUUCAUAUACAUAAUAUUUAUCCACUACAUCUACCCUUUAUUAUACCUUCGGCUAGCUCUCCUGUUGCAGACAUCAAUGGCUAUGGGAAAAGCUGUGAGGAGGGCUGGCAGCAGGGAGCAGAGCCAUGCAGAAGUGCUUUGGGGUGGGAAGGGAAGGGGAGCUGGAAGGUCAUGAGGUGACCAUGGGAAGGGGCCACGGAUGGAGAAUGGAAGCUCAUCUGAUCCUGCGUGGAGCAUCUUUUGCAGGGACACGUGAAUCUGUGUUACAAUGCGUGGAGAUGGGUAUUGCAAAGCCACUUUUAUUUAUGGUGCUUUUAUUGGCAGGGGAGUGGGAGUGCAAUACAAUUUUAGCCACUGUGAUGUCUCUAUCUCCCUUACAUUCCACCUCCAUUUCUAGAGCCGUUUUUGCUCGGAAUUACACAAUUUCUCCAACUGCACAAAGGGACUUUCUGUACCUGGCAUGGCUCAGCCUUGCUGGGCGAGGACAGCACUCCAGCAGCUGAGUGCGUGUCUCCAGCAUCACCAGCCCUGUUCCCCUCCCACUGCAGGCAGCAGAAUCCCGUCCCAUAAGGCAGCAAUAGGGGAGGGCUGCACGGCACUCAGCUCGGACACGCUUGAGCAUGGAGAAAGGCACAAUUCACACCAUGGUCUGCAGGGAGCACAGCCCAAAGGGAGCCUCCAAGAGCUACGGAGCCUGAGACCACCAUGAUGUCAGCUGGUUAUGCUCCAGUUCUCAGAUCCAGCUCAAAUCUCUCCCACCUCCCACUGGCACCAUCCACCGCAUCACACAACCCUGUAUAAACAAACCCAGCGAAUGCUUUUGUCUCUUCCUGUCCUUCUCAGAUAUUUUGGGUAUUUGUGGCAAUCUCUCCUGUUUAUAUAACAAAGCCACAGCCCAGUGUUUGUGGCACCAUAUCCAUGGUAACCCUAAUAUAGCAUGCACAGGCAAGUAGGAUUUCAUUAGGUGGCUCAGCUGUGGCAGCGUUUGGGGGGAGCAGUGGGGAUGGAAGGUCUCUCUGGUGCAGGGACCUGGACGCCCACCCACGUCCCAAGGAGCAAUGCUGCUCUCUUUUUGCUAGCUGUGGCCCAUCCCUGCUCCCGCGUCACCCCAUCACCAUGCCAUGGUGCUUGCUGCAACCCAUCCUCCUCACCUUUCAUGCUGCAAAGAGCCGCAGGCGUUCGCCCAAGCUGCUCAGGAUCCUCCAGCAAGAGCCACGAAGCUGAAGUUCAUUUCUGUCUCCAGUUUGGGGGAGAUUCCUCCAGUGGUGCGAGAGAGAGAACGUUUGGUCCUGAGGAAAAUAACAAAAG